CCGCGCGUCGCCCUAACGAGAGGACAUGUUUGUGACCUAGUGAGUGUCCGUGUACAUAGUGGCGUCGCGGGUGUCGUGUGGCGGUCAUCGUGAGGGCUGAGGCGGCCGCGUCACUACAACGAAGCGACGGUUUCGAGAGGACACCAUGACGCACUGACGAACGAAACUUAAUUCUCGUAUCAUUAAUUACUCAACACACAGCAGGGGAGAAAGAAAAUCAAAAUAAAUUCAACAAAAGAGCCAGAUGUGAGUACAGCGAAGGCCAGAGGGACCCGCUCUUGACCCUCAGCAGAGAAAUGUUCACGUGGACCGGCUCGGUGACACACAUCCGGGGUGGGUGAACACUUCCUACCACUGCGGAAGAGAAUCGAGAUACCUUACCUAACGCUGCUCAUGCACAGACCAAAAAACAACAACAAAGGGACAACAACAACAACAACAACAACAUCAACAGCAUCAUCAUCAUCAUCAUCAACAACAACAAGACAAAAGAAUGAGAGGACAGAAGAGAGAUCAUGUAUACAGGCAAAGAGGUCUACAAUAUGGCUUCAUCGAUCCUUUAUUUUGAUACGUACAAAAUUAGACGUGAAGUGUCAUAUCAUAUAUACCCAAAAAACUGUUGCGUGUUGGGUAGUGAGUUCCGGGCUUGUGAAUUCUUACUUUUCACCGCAAUUGCUGGCAUCCUGUUAUGACCGUACGUAUUGACGGUGGUGAUUGUCCCACACUCGCCCUUCUAUUGCUUCCUGACUACCCUGGACCCAUUACCUCCCUGCCUCCCCCUCCCAGCACCGCCCUCCAUCCCAUCACCGUCCCCCCUCCCAACAGUACCUUGCCUGACUACCCUGGACCUAUUACCUCCCUGCCUCCCCCUCCCAGCACCGCCCUCCAUCCCAUCACCGUCCCCCCUCCCAACAGUACCUUGCCUGA